rnacentral:misc_RNA from 1 species
UUUUCGUAGGUGAACCUGCGGAAGGAUCAUUAUUGUAUAACCGAGGUGCGAGGGCUGUCGCUGACCCGACAGGUCGUGCACGCCCGAGUGCCCUCACACACAUCCAUCUCACCCCUAUGUGCACCACCGCGUGGGUCCCCCUUUGGCUUGUUCGGAGGGGGGCUUACGUUUUCACACAAACUUUGUAUGCAGUGUAGAAUGUAUUUUUUGUUUUUGCGAUCACGCAAUCAAUACAACUUUCAACAACGGAUCUCUUGGCUCUC